GAGCUGAAUAGAACAUAGCACAUAAUUAUUCAUAAAGUAACGAUGUUACAGACAUUGCUAUGCUGUGUAUUUCUGUGGACGUCAUAUGUUCGUUCACAGACCCCAGUACUAAGUCCUCCAGUUGCAUCUGUUGUUUCUGGACAAAGCUUCACUUUUAAUUGCAUCGUAGGAGUCAAGGAUACCAGUGUAAUGGCUUUCCUUAAACAAUCAGAGGUUGAACCUCCAAAGCUCAUUUUUGCCAACCAUUACUCAUAUCAAUCUCCUGUGUAUGGACCAGGAAUGUCUUCAACCCACUACACUGGCUCAAUAAACAGCGCAGGCACUGAGUAUCAAUUAAUUAUUACAAAUGCAGAUAUUACAGAUACUUCACUGUAUUACUGUGCUAAGUGGUAUGUAAGUCUUGAUGGAUGA